UCGUUUAUAACGGAGCCGGCUGGGGCGGGGGGAGCCGGGGGAGGCAGCAUGGCCUUGAGAUUUUCAUUGAAGGGCUGCAGUACUGAACGUAUCCUGAAAGGAGCUAGAAUGAACAGAGACUCUGCUUCUGAUGUCCUGGGCGGGUUGCAGCUAUUCCCGGACUUUUCUGCGCUGACGAUAGCCAAGAGGAGAUCGUUGACCCCAAUUACCUCGGCUCAGUUACAGAUGGGGAUUUCCGGUAAAGUUGAUUAUCUUCUAUGAAGGCUCGUCAUACAUGGUAGGAUCUAUGCAUAAGAAUGUGCAUGAGAUUUUCUUCCGAGUUUGGCCCCUGUUGUUUAAAAUAUGGCCAUUUGGUUUUUCUUGUUUGCUUUUUGAAGCGCAGUUGUUUAUUUUUCAAUUUACUUGUUGGAGGGUUUUUAAAAAUUUUUACUUACACUUACCUGUCCCUGGCUCCUGUGAUCCAUCCUUCCCUGCAGCGAGAUGGCCUCUCCACUUCUUUCCUGGCAGAAGGAGGUUGAUGCUGAGGGAUCCCUUCAGUCUCCUUUCCGCUACCGUUAACCUUGACUCCAUGAGAGGCGUCUCCUUUGUGCCCACACUUACCUGUCCCUGGCUCCUGUGAUCCAUCCUUCCUUGCAGCGAGAUGGCCUCUCCACUUCUUUCCUGGCAGAAGGAGGUUGAUGCUGAGGGAUCCCUUCAGUCUCCUUUCCGCUACCGUUAACCUUGACUCCAUGAGAGGCGUCUACUUUGUGCCCACUUACCUGGGCACAAAGGAGACGCCUGUGAUCCAUCCUUCCCUGCAGCGAGAUGGCCUCUCCACUUCUUUCCUGGCAGAAGGAGGUUGAUGCUGAGGGAUCCCUUCAGUCUCCUUUCCGGAACACUGAUUUGGACUUUUCUUUGAUCCUUUCAACACAACCAAAUCAACUUUCUUAUCAAACUGAACAGAAGGUUGCAAAGUUUUAAACUUCUUAAAGGUUACAAUGUAAAAGAAUAUUCAAGGAUGUUUUAAUGAGUUUAUUAAAGUGAUGAAUUUAAUUUGUUUUGUAAAUAUCAAUGAACUGUAAACAAUAUUUACUUGUGUUUGCAUUUUUAUUCAAGUUUUUUUAAUAAACUUACAUAUUAAAAGUAA